rnacentral:lncRNA from 1 species
UUCUCUUUUAAAGAAGUCAUGAGGGAUCCAAUGCUUGAUGGCAACGCAGCCCUUCAUUGAAAAUUCAAGGGCCUCAUUGUUUCCCUGCAACAGGAAGACAACUUGGAAAGGAUUCUCUAGACACUGAGCCCAUUGUAGGAAGCUGUGCGACCCAAAGAUUUUCAUGAGCAUGAACUUGCCCUUUGAGAUCAAAGCCGAUUGUCUUCUGAGAGGUGUCCAGUGGGCCAUCCUCUGAAAAGUGACCCACUGUUCAGCACAGCUCUUUCCAGGACACUGAAUUGGAGCCAGCUGGUGCCUGGAACGUACCUUGUAUGUCACUUUCUGAUCUCUGAAGGCCAACUGUAUGUGAUUAAGCCUAACAGACACAGAGCUUGUGUUAAGCCCAGGAUGUCGCUUGGUGCUCUUGCAAAUCCUGUUCCUCAUACUCUGUCUUGGUGGCAAGUGGGUUCAAUAGAUGACUUCCCUGCGGUGAGAGGCUAAGAGAGUGGGAGGAAUGUCAUUUUUCAGUCGACAGAAAUAAGAGAGACCGCCCUGGCUGCCAUGUUGAGACUAGCUUGCCAUGGAUAAGAGAAGAAUCAAGAAGACCAGGUAAGAAGCAAUCGAGGUGCUUCUGGUGUGAGGUGCUUCUGGUGUAAAGUGCUUAGCUGGGGUGGCAGCAGAGAAAGGGGUGGGAGUGGUCAGCCUGAGUCCACUCUGGCACAUGGCACUGACGGAGCUUGCUGAUGGUGGGAGGUGGGUGUGAGGGGAAGAGAGGAGACAAAGAUGAAGUCAUCCAAGGACUAGUGGGCUGAGCAAUGGGAAGGGUGGAGUUGCCAUCCACUGAGUUUGUAUUUCUCUGUUUCUGGAACUCAGUGGUAAACUUCUGGCAGACAGGAACCAGCGUCUUGUGUAUUCUGUAACCUUCAUACAAACAUGAUCAAAAUUAUGCUAAAUGUAAAAUGAAGUUUAAAGUUCCCCUUAUAGGGUCUUUUCUGGCCCACAGAGGGGUCUCAACGUUGACCUUGGGGCCAGCCAACCAAUGAUCGCUCUCCUUUCCAUGCUGUGUGGAACCCACUUGCUCCUCUGGUGGUGACUUUUGGAUGGCCACGGGGGUAGGUUUCUGCCUAUCUAGUCAAACUAUUAUUUAACCCUUCAUAUGGGUCCAGGUACUUUCCUGAACAGGAGAAUUUCUAGAGAGAGGGAUGGAGGCGGAGGGUGGGAAAUCAGCUCUCAUCCCCUUUAACCAUCUUGUUCUCUUCUUGCUGCAAGACUCCAACAAGGUGAACUUAACCCAGAGGAUACAAGGAAAACAUUUUUGAAGCUUUUUAUAGGGCCGGUUCAGUAAUGUAAAUGUCUGCUUCUGUCCAGGGAUAAACAAUAGGGAGUAAUUGGUACCGAUGCAGCAAACCAGAGUCCCAGGCAAUUGCUGCUGUGUAGAACUGGAGGUGCAAUAAACCAGGCAUGUGUGUGAGCCUAUUGCAGCCCAGGAACCCCUCCUUCCCCAGCCCUGGCCUGAGCAUCAGAGAAGUCCCUUUAAGACCUUCCCUUUCUUCUCAUUGUCCUGUUCUUCCCAGAGUCCUCUCUUGGAUCCAUUCAUUGUUGGUGCUCCUUAUGCACCAUCCUGCAUUAUUUCCACAUUCUUACACCCCCUUAAGAAGUACCUGGGUCCUAGAUACUUUCAAGCCUCUAUGUCUUGCCAACUGUUUCUGUAAGUGCUGCAGGUGUUUGUCUAUUGCUAUCAAGUGCAUACCGUAAGUUAAAGAUACUUUAUUGCUACAAAAUGUUAACCAUCAUCUGAGCCUUCAGCAAGUUACAGUAGUAAUAUCAAUGAUCGCUGAUCACAGAUCACCUUAGCAAAUAUAAUAAUAAUGAAAAAGUUUGAGAAUUACCGAAAUGUAACACAGAGACACCUAGCGAGCCACUGCUGUAGGAAAAAAUGGCACUAAUAAACUCGCUGGAUGCCACAGCGUUGCCAUAAACCUUCAAUUUAUAAAAUUCAAUAUUGUCAAAGUGUAAUAAAAUGAGGUAUGCCUGUAUUUCAACAGUGCUUCUCCUUUAGGGUCUUUCCUUGUAAAUUACUGAAACCUCUAGGGGUUCAACCCAAAGGUUCUCACUUAGAUUAUUUACAUAAAGAUGUUCAUAAUCCCAUGGAAUAACAAAUCUUUAUUACAAAAUUGAGUCUCGUGUUUAGGAAUCUUUGGAGAAGGAAGUUUAAAUACCAAGAAAGAUAUAUUAAGAAAUAAAUUGUGGGAAGAUCGAGGGAAAUUGAGGGGAAAAAAAUCCACUGAUGAGCAUAUUUCAAUAGAGCUUUGACCUACUGGUAGCUCAUCUCUGCACAGCCUCUUCCCAUAGCCCUUCCUACAUGAGCGCCUCCUCCAGGAAGUGGGGCUGUUUGUUAUCAAGCACGUCCAUGUGUUCUUUCUCAGUAAACCAAAAGAUUUCCAAUUUAUCGGAGGGAUUUCAACUCUAGCAAAAUGUUCAGUGUCCCCAAAGCUAUUCAAUACUCUUCAUUAUUCUUAUAACGAUCAGUAGAACACCCUCAUUUAUGUUUAUAUUUUUCCAAAGAUAAAAAUUGGAGCAAUUGGAGGAGGGGGAGAGAUUCAUGGAUACAAAUGGCUUGAUCUUUUCACCUGUUUCACUGGCUCUUUUUUUGAAUGUUGACUUAAUUUUAUACAUCUAGGUAUUCCCACUUCACCCAUUUUGUGGGUGCUUCAGGUGGCCCAAAUAGGAAGGGCCUAUUUAUCGAUUUUUUCUUCUGUGAAUGUGGCCACUGUCCUCUUAGCCUGUGAACAUAAGGUCUGCCGUCCUCUUGCUCUUACUGGUGGGGCAUGGGGGAGGGGUUGUACCCUGAAGAGGCAAAAAUCAUUUCAAAUCCCCUGAAGACCAAAAUAUCAAGAAUUAGAGGGCAAUGUAAUGGCUGGGAGAGGGAAGAAAGGACAGAAGCAAAUAGUUGACAGGUCUCUAAAAUUUUAAUUUUCAGCCCAAAGAAUUUCUUGAAAGGCACCUUUGAGGGGGAGGGCUCAUUGAUUUUCUUUUCUUUUUUUUUGACUUUUUAGGGCCGCACAUGUGGUAUAUGGAAGUUCCCAGACUAGGGGUGGAAUCAGAACUGUAGCUGCUUGCCUACAACCACAGUCAAGCAAUGCCAGAUCCAAACUGUGUCUGUGACCUACACGGCAAUUCACAGCAACACUGGAUCCUUAACCCACUGAGCGAGGCCAGGGAUCGAACCCAUAUCCUCAUGGAUCC